rnacentral:rRNA from 1 species
CUUUUUAUGUUUUUAGAAUUUUUUAAAAAAAUUAAUUAAGAAGUUGAAAAAUCAUAUUUUGGCAUAGUAUUGGUGAAAGAAAUGUAGAAGUAGUUAAACAAAGUACUGAAAAGGAACCCAUUUAUUAUAUAAUAGAAGUUUGUCUUACUUUUUGUAUCAUGGUUUAGUGAGAAUAAUAACUUUCAAAGUUUUUUCUCGAAAUCUUUGCGAGCUAUUUUGAUUAUGUUUAGAACUACAUUUUAUAAUGUAGAAAAAUUAUAAAAAUAAAUCAAACUAGGGGUUAAAUGCUUGUCGCGCAAGAUUAUAGCUUGUUUUUGUCUUGGCUUUGUAAGAAAGUAAUUUUUUUAAAUUUAAGGUCAGUUUGUUUUUUUGGGGAUAAGCUCAAAAAAUGUAAGAAAGAGGUUACUAAGUUUGUUGUGUGUAGGCGUAAAAGCUGCCAUCGCUAAAGAGUUCGUUUUAGAUCAAAUUUUGAUAAAAUUAUCUUCUUUGUUAUAACUUAGGCAAAUUUGUUUUAAAUGUAAAAAAUAAAAGAUAAUGCUAAUAUAAGUACUUUAAGUUGAACUUUAUCUAAUUAGUGGUUUAUAAUUUUUGUUAAUUUUUAGUUUGUGUAAGUAAAAAGAAAAAGAAAAAGGAACUCGGCAAAUGUAAAGCUCGUCUGUUUAUCAAAAACAUAGCUUGUUGAAGUUUAGUAACAAGUAUCUCCUGCCCGGUGCUUUGUGUAAACGGCCGCGGUACUCUGACCGUGCAAAGGUAGCAUAAUCAUUUGCCCUUUUAUUGGGGGCUGGAAUGAAUGGAAUGACGUGGCUUUUGCUGUCUCUUUCUUUUAAUUGUAAAUUGCUGUUUUUGUGAAGAAGCAAGAAUGUUAAAAAAAGACAAGAAGACCCUAUUAAGCUUUACUCUAAAAUUUUUGGUAAAAAUGUUUUUAUUUUAUUAUAUAGUUAUCAUGUUUCAGGGUUUGGUUGGGGUGACCGAAGAAGACAAGGAUCUUCUUUUUUUUUAAAAAACUUUAUGUUUCUUAUUGGGCCAGAAGUUUCUGAGAAUAAGAAUAAGUUACUAUAGGGAUAACAGCGUAAUUUUUUCAAAGAGUUCAUAUUGAAGAAAAAGAUUGCGACCUCGAUGUUGACUUGUUGUCUCCUGUUUUAAAGUGCCAUUAGUUGGAACAAAGGUGUAGCAGCUAAAAGGGUUGGUCUGUUCGACCAUUAAAACAACACGUGAGUUGAGUUCAGACCGGCGUAAGCCAGGUUGGUUUCUAUCUUUUUUAAUUAGAACUGGGCUUGCUAGUACGAAAGGACCGUGAGCAUGCAGAAAGUGCAGUAAU